UGAACGCUGGCGGCGUGCCUAGUACAUGCAAGUCGAGCGAACAGACGCGGAGCUUGCUCCUCUGACGUUAGCGGCGGACGGGUGAGUAACACGUGGAUAACCUACCUAUAAGACUGGGAUAACUUCGGGAAACCGGAGCUAAUACCGGAUAAUAUAUUGAACCGCAUGGUUCAAUAGUGAAAGACGGUUUUGCUGUCACUUAUAGAUGGAUCCGCGCCGCAUUAGCUAGUUGGUAAGGUAACGGCUUACCAAGGCAACGAUGCGUAGCCGACCUGAGAGGGUGAUCGGCCACACUGGAACUGAGACACGGUCCAGACUCCUACGGGAGGCAGCAGUAGGGAAUCUUCCGCAAUGGGCGAAAGCCUGACGGAGCAACGCCGCGUGAGUGAUGAAGGUCUUCGGAUCGUAAAACUCUGUUAUUAGGGAAGAACAAAUGUGUAAGUAACUAUGCACGUCUUGACGGUACCUAAUCAGAAAGCCACGGCUAACUACGUG
rnacentral:rRNA from 1 species